rnacentral:lncRNA from 1 species
GGGGGUUUAGGGGGGGUUUGGGGGGGGUUAAGGGGGUUUAGGGGAUCCCUGAGGGGGUUUGGGUUAUUUAAGGUUUAUUUGGGUUAUUUAGGGAGCGUCUCAGGGUUAUUCCGGGGGUCUCUCGGGGUUAUUUUCAGGCACAUUUGGGAUAUUUUAGGGAGAGUUUCGGGGUUAUUUCAGGAGUGUUUCAGGGUUAUUUUCAGGUACAUUUGGGGUAUUUCAGGGAGUGUUUCGGGGCUAUUUCAGGGAGUGUUUCGGGGUUAUUUCAGGGGUCUCUCAGGGUUAUUUUCAGGCACAUUCAGGGUAUCUUGGGGUCUCUCAGGGGUAUCUCAGGGUCUCUCUCAGGGUUAUUUUCAGGCACAUUUGGGGUAUCUCAGGGAGUGUUUCGGGGUUAUUUCAGGGAGUGUUUGGGGGUUAUUUCAGGAGUGUUUCGGGGUUAUUUCAGGGGUCUCUCAGGGUUAUUUUCAGGAGUGUUUCGGGGUUAUUUCAGGCACAUUUGGGGUUAUUCCAGGGGUCUCUCAGGGUUAUUCCAGGGGUCUCUCAGGGUUAUUUCAGGGGCUCUCUCAGGGUUAUUUCAGGCACAUUUGGGGUAUUUCAGGGAGUGUUUCGGGGCUAUUUCAGGGAGUGUUUCGGGGUUAUUUCAGGAGUGUUUGGGGGUUAUUUCAGGCACAUUCAGGUCUCUCGGGGGUGUCUCUCACCGAUGACGGAGCUGGGGCUGCGGCCGGCCCUGCCGAAGGCGCACACCCCGGGCGCCUCCGCCGGGAUGGCGAAACUGGCCAGGGACCACUGGGACUCCACGUAGGGGCCCAGCACCGGCCCCACCUUCCCCACGCGCGCCAGCCUGGGGGGCACAGCGGGUCAGGGGGGCUCGGGGGGCCCGGGGGGUUUGGGGGACCCCCCACACCCCACAACUCACGCCGAGCGCCGGUUGAGCCGCGUGUCCCGCAGGGCGAAGACGUGGCCGGUGCCUUUGUCGCUGGCCGCGCACAGGAAGGAGCAGUCGGGGCUGAAGGACAGGCUGGGGAACCCCGAAAUCUGUCAGGGGUGGGGGCACCCCAAAACCUCCUCUGA